CAGUUCAGCAUUUUUGUGCCCCUGGUAUAUUUCAGGGUUCAAUAUUCAGCUCCUUAGAAUUCCCACAUCUUCCUUUCCUAAAUAUGAGCUAUCUGUGCAUUUUUAUGUCAUACAGUGAAAAUAGAAACUCAUAGCUUUCAUUUUGUUUAGGUAAAAUUUCCAACAAGAUGAGGUAUCAUUACACUCCACCCUUUGAACAUGGACACAAACAUCUAAAGACAGACCAUUAUGUCUUUGAAUGUGGGGAUUCUGGUUUACUCCCUUGUUUCCUAGCACUUACCACUUGGCACAGAGCAAAUGAUUAGCAAAAAUGUACUGCAUACAUAAAAACAAAGUACUUGAUAUGGAGUUUCUUUAAGGUAGAGCAAGAAUUGAACAUUGACAAAACACUGAAAUAGCUCUACUUCACUCAGGUUUCACAGGUGCCAAGCACUUUACCCACUUUACCUUUAAUCUUUAACAUUAUUCUGUUGGGCAUUAUUAUUUGCAUUUACAGACAGGGCAUUUCUGAGGAGUAAAUGGUCCACUGUGAUGCAACAAGUAACCUGUGGCCUGGCUCUCAACCCCAGCAUGCUCCGCAACACAACUCCCUGCUCUUUCCUUUCCGCCACACUUUCUCUCUUUUCUGCUCUAACUACAUGCCAUGUGACUUACAUAUGACUUUAUGCAUACUAUUAUGAAAAGGCAUAGAGAAGAAUGUGUUUCUGCUUCACAGCUGGCUUAUAUCUUCCAACCAGAUCUCCAACUAGUAAUCACUUUGUCUUGUGGCAUUCAUGCCCAACCUACCAUCUCAGAUUCUGGACCUACUGCCUUGACCUGUUGAUAUCUAAGUCUUGGUGUGGGGAAGAGAAUAAUAAAGACAACUGAGUACUCAUAACAUGACCUGGUUCUAAUGCAUUUUGCCACUUAUCACUUACUUUAAGUAAAUCACUUA
rnacentral:lncRNA from 12 species